GCCGGGCUAGCUCAAUCGGUAGAGCGUGUGGCUUUUACAGUAUACACGAUCUGACACCACAAGGCUGCGAGUUCGAGCCUCGCGUUCGGCU
rfam:Microsporum canis CBS 113480 supercont1.5 genomic scaffold, whole genome shotgun sequence.